CCUACGGGAUGCUGCAGUGGGGAAUAUUGGACAAUGGGCGAAAGCCUGAUCCAGCCAUGCCGCGUGUGUGAAGAAGGCCUUCGGGUUGUAGAGCACUUUCAGUGGGGAAGAAAGCCUUGGGGCUAAUACCCUCGAGGAAGGACAUCACCCACAGAAGAAGCACCGGCUAACUCCGUGCCAGCAGCCGCGGUAAUACGGAGGGUGCGAGCGUUAAUCGGAAUUACUGGGCGUAAAGCGCGCGUAGGCGGUCUGAUAAGCCGGUUGUGAAAGCCCCGGGCUCAACCUGGGAACGGCAUCCGGAACUGUCAGGCUAGAGUGCAGGAGAGGAAGGUAGAAUUCCCGGUGUAGCGGUGAAAUGCGUAGAGAUCGGGAGGAAUACCAGUGGCGAAGGCGGCCUUCUGGACUGACACUGACGCUGAGGUGCGAAAGCGUGGGUAGCAAACAGGAUUAGAUACCCGAGUAGUC
rnacentral:rRNA from 1 species